UUUUCGGACAAUGGAAGUAGAGGAAAGUGGCGGACGGGUGAGUAACGCGUGAGGAACCUGCCUUGAAGAGGGGGAUAACGGCUGGAAACGGUCGCUAAUACCGCAUGAUGUGUUCGGAUGGCAUCAUCUGAACAUCAAAGAUUUAUCGCUGAAAGAUGGGCUCGCGUCUGAUUAGAUAGUUGGUGGGGUAACGGCCUACCAAGUCUACGAUCAGUAGCCGGCCUGAGAGGGUGAACGGCCACAUUGGGACUGAGACACAGCCCAAACUCC
rnacentral:rRNA from 1 species